CUAAUACCGUAUACGCCCUAUGGGGGAAAAAUUUAUUGCUAUUAGAUGAGCCUAUAUUAGAUUAGCUAGUUGGUGGAGUAAUAGCCUACCAAGGCAAUGAUUUAUAGCUGAUCUGAGAGGAUGAUCAGCCACACUGGAACUGAGAUACGGUCCAGACUCCUACGGGAGGCAGCAGUGGGGAAUAUUGGACAAUGGGCGAAAGCCUGAUCCAGCCAUGCCGCAUGAGUGAAGAAGGCCUUUGGGUUGUAAAGCUCUUUUAGUGAGGAAGAUAAUGACGGUACUCACAGAAGAAGUCCUGGCUAACUCCGUGCCAGCAGCCGCGGUAAUACGGAGAGGGCUAGCGUUAUUCGGAAUUAUUGGGCGUAAAGGGCGCGUAGGCGGAUUAGUAAGUUAAAAGUGAAAUCCCAAGGCUCAACCUUGGAAUUGCUUUUAAAACUGCUAAUCUAGAGAUUGAAAGAGGAUAGAGGAAUUCCUAGUGUAGAGGUGAAAUUCGUAAAUAUUAGGAGGAACACCAGUGGCGAAGGCGUCUAUCUGGUUCAAAUCUGACGCUGAGGCGCGAAGGCGUGGGGAGCAAACAGGAUUAGAUACCCUGGUAGUCCACGCUGUAAACGAUGAAUGUUAAAUAUGGGAAGUUUUACUUUCUGUAUUACAGCUAACGCGUUAAACAUUCCGCCUGGGGACUACGGUCGCAAGAUUAAAACUCAAAGGAAUUGACGGGGACCCGCACAAGCGGUGGAGCAUGUGGUUUGAUUCGAUGCAACGCGAAAAACCUUACCACUCCUUGACAUGGAAAUUAUACCUAUUCGAAGGGAUAGGGUCGGUUUGGCCGGGUUUCACGCAGGUGUUGCAUGGCUGUCGUCAGCUCGUGUCGUGAGAUGUUGGGUUAAGUCCCGCAACGAGCGCAACCCUCAUCCUUAGUUACCAUCAGGUAAUGCUGGGGACUUUAAGGAAACUGCCAGUGAUAAACUGGAGGAAGGUGGGGAUGAUGUCAAGUCAUCAUGGCCCUUAUGGAGUGGGCUACACACGUGCUACAAUGGUGGCUACAAUGGGCUGCAAAGUCGCGAGGCUAAGCUAAUCCCUUAAAAGCCAUCUCAGUUCGGAUUGUACUCUGCAACUCGAGUGCAUGAAGUUGGAAUCGCUAGUAAUCGUGGAUCAGCACGCCACGGUGAAUACGUUCCCGGG
rnacentral:rRNA from 1 species